AAAAGAAAUCAACCGAGAUUCCCCCAGUAGCGGCGAGCGAACGGGGAGGAGCCCAGAGCCUGAAUCAGUGUGUGUGUUAGUGGAAGCGUCUGGAAAGGCGCGCGAUACAGGGUGACAGCCCCGUACACAAAAAUGCACAUGCUGUGAGCUCGAUGAGUAGGGCGGGACACGUGGUAUCCUGUCUGAAUAUGGGGGGACCAUCCUCCAAGGCUAAAUACUCCUGACUGACCGAUAGUGAACCAGUACCGUGAGGGAAAGGCGAAAAGAACCCCGGCGAGGGGAGUGAAAAAGAACCUGAAACCGUGUACGUACAAGCAGUGGGAGCACGCUUAGGCGUGUGACUGCGUACCUUUUGUAUAAUGGGUCAGCGACUUAUAUUCUGUAGCAAGGUUAACCGAAUAGGGGAGCCGAAGGGAAACCGAGUCUUAACUGGGCGUUAAGUUGCAGGGUAUAGACCCGAAACCCGGUGAUCUAGCCAUGGGCAGGUUGAAGGUUGGGUAACACUAACUGGAGGACCGAACCGACUAAUGUUGAAAAAUUAGCGGAUGACUUGUGGCUGGGGGUGAAAGGCCAAUCAAACCGGGAGAUAGCUGGUUCUCCCCGAAAGCUAUUUAGGUAGCGCCUCGUGAAUUCAUCUCCGGGGGUAGAGCACUGUUUCGGCAAGGGGGUCAUCCCGACUUACCAACCCGAUGCAAACUGCGAAUACCGGAGAAUGUUAUCACGGGAGACACACGGCGGGUGCUAACGUCCGUCGUGAAGAGGGAAACAACCCAGACCGCCAGCUAAGGUCCCAAAGUCAUGGUUAAGUGGGAAACGAUGUGGGAAGGCCCAGACAGCCAGGAUGUUGGCUUAGAAGCAGCCAUCAUUUAAAGAAAGCGUAAUAGCUCACUGGUCGAGUCGGCCUGCGCGGAAGAUGUAACGGGGCUAAACCAUG
rnacentral:rRNA from 1 species